rnacentral:rRNA from 1 species
UACGGAGGGUGCGAGCGUUGUCCGGAAUCAUUGGGCGUAAAGAGCUCGUAGGCGGUUUGUCGCGUCUGCUGUGAAAGACCGGGGCUCAACUCCGGUUCUGCAGUGGGUACGGGCAGACUAGAGUGCAGUAGGGGAGACUGGAAUUCCUGGUGUAGCGGUGAAAUGCGCAGAUAUCAGGAGGAACACCGAUGGCGAAGGCAGGUCUCUGGGCUGUAACUGACGCUGAGGAGCGAAAGCAUGGGGAGCGAACAGG